AGGACGAACGCUGGCGGCGUGCUUAACACAUGCAAGUCGAACGAGGCGCUUGCGCCUAGUGGCGAACGGGUGAGUAACACGUGAGCAACCUGCCCUUGGCUCUGGGAUAGCCUCCGGAAACGGGGAUUAAUACCGGACAUGACCUUCUCCUGCAUGGGGGAGGGUGGAAAGUUUUUCGGCCAGGGAGGGGCUCGCGGCCUAUCAGCUUGUUGGGGGGGUAACGGCCCACCAAGGCGACGACGGGUAGCCGGCCUGAGAGGGCGACCGGCCACACUGGGACUGAGACACGGCCCAGACUCCUACGGGAGGCAGCAGUGGGGAAUAUUGCACAAUGGGGGAAACCCUGAUGCAGCGACGCCGCGUGCGGGAUGAAGGCCUUCGGGUUGUAAACCGCUUUCAGCAGGGGCGAAUUCAGACGGUACCUGCAGAAGAAGCGCCGGCUAACUACGGUGCCAGCCAGCCGC
rnacentral:rRNA from 1 species